AAGAAUUUAAGUUAAAUAAACUUUUAACCUUCAAAGUUAACUAUAGGGGGGCACACACCUAAUUCUUA
rnacentral:tRNA from 1 species